rnacentral:rRNA from 1 species
CACGGGGGGAGCAAGCGUUGUUCGGAAUUACUGGGCGUAAAGGGCGUGUAGGCGGUUGCGUAAGUGGAAUGUGAAAUCCCCCGGCUUACCCGGGGACCUGCAUCCCAAACUGCGCGACUUGAGUAUGGGAGAGGAUGAGGGAAUUCCUGGUGUAGCGGUGAAAUGCGUAGAUAUCAGGAGGAACACCGGUGGCGAAGGCGCUCAUCUGGCCCAAUACUGACGCUGAGGCGCGAAAGCUAGGGUAGCGAACGGG